CCCCUCUUCUCUCCCUCUCCAUUUUUCAGCCUUUUCAUCAGCCAUAACCAGAGCUUGCACGUAUCAGUUCAAGAAGAGCUUGGGCUUUUGGUUUAUUUUAGAGAUACUUUUGAAAUCUCAGUGUAAAAGGGAGUCAAAAUCUCCGGUUCAAACCAAGAUUCCUCCAUUUCGAGUAAGAUUUUAAAUCAAAUAUUCAGUACAAGACAAUUCUUGGUGAGUUCGAGCAAAGUUGACUCGCGUUUGCCUCUAUACUUCCCUUUAUGUUUUCCUUUUUUAAACAAAGAGAUAUGAUUUUGCUCUGCCCAAAAUAUCACCACGAGAUUGGCCAUUUUCUACCGUUUGCAAUCUUUAUUUUUCAAAUUCCCGCCCAAAAACACCCCAAAACCUUAGCUCGCAGUUAUAAAUAUUGGUCUUGCAUCCAUUUUAGGGGGAAGUUUUUUUUUUUUUCGGAGCCAUCACCCCUCACUCUAAAUUACUAUCGAAACCAAACUUCACUCAAAAAAGGGUAGUUCUGUUUCUGUCAAAACUUUCUGGACUCAAAGGAUUUUCCAAGUUCAAAGUGGUCGAAGUUUGAGCUUAGAUCGGUGACCUAAAAGCCCUAGUUCGCUGCACCCGAAAAAGGUCAGUAAUUCUCCCUUUUCCUUUUAUUUUCUGCUUCAUCUAUGUUUCUUUAAUUGUUGUGUAGGUUUAAAGCGUGCUAAUUAGUCAGAUUAAUUUAGUUUAAUGGAUAAGCUUGUUUGUAUGUUGAUAUGAGUCAGGACUUAAUCAGUCUCGUAUGAUGGUUUAGUUAAUCAUGUUGUUGGGUUAGUUCUGUUUGUUUAUUUAAACAUGUGAUAGUUUAGCUUUAGCUGGUUCAAACAUGUGAGUUAUGUCUUUCUCACUUAGUUCAAGCAGUUUUAAUCAAAUGGUCUUACAUGUUGCUUACCGAGGACAUGACCUUAGAUAGGAGGGUUUGGAGGACCCAAAUUAGGGUAGAAGGCUAGUAGAUAGUCUCGUUAUCCGUUCUUAUUAGUAGUCGCAUUAUUGCAAUAUAAUUUCUUGUGCUCCGAUUUCUGCUAUUAUCUGUUAUUUCCUGUGCUUUGGUUAUCUUGUGUCAUCUGCUCCGAUUUCUGCUAUUAUCUGUUAUUUCCUGUGCUCUGAUUAUCAUGUGUUAUCUGUGUCGCUUGCAUUAUUUCAUUUCCAUAUCGCUUUAAAUCUCUUAUCCGAAUCUCUUAACCUUAUCUGACUUCUUUUUAUGCUUUUAUUGAGCCGGGGGUCUUUCGGAAACAGCCGUCCUACCUUGGUAGGAGUCAGGUCUGCGUACACUCUACCCUCCCCAGACCCCACGAUGUGGGAUUUCACUGGGUUGUUGUUGUUGUUGUUGUAUCGACUCUUUCCCGCAGUAACUUUUCUUCUCUUUAUUUUAAUUCUCAUGGCGGUGAAAGUGUCAUUAGCUCUCGUCGUUUGUUUAAGCCAAAUAUCAGUAUGCUAUGUUUAGACUUCAAUUUGAGUUUUCUGCAACCAGCAGCUAAAUGGAUUUAGGCUUAAUACCUAGAUGGACCCUUAAACUUGACAUGUUUUGUAAGAUAGACAUAUAAACUUACAAGGUGACCAGAUAGACACUUAAACUUACUCAAAGUGUAUUUUUCAAGUUUUCCAGUUGUUUUGAAAAUAAAAACUAUAUUUUUCAAACACUCACAAUUUUCAUGGCCAAACAAGCCCUAAAUAUAUCACAAAAUAUUUUUUUUAAAAUGCAAAAAUAAGGCAAACGCAUAUACAUGAGACUAUAAAUGUGCACUUAAACCAAUAAAUACUCGCUAAUCGCAAUUUUGCAGCUUUCAAUUAACUCGGAUUUUUUUUUACACUUGAAUAAUUAAAAAACAAUAACUUUAACCAAUAAAAAUCCUUAAAAAAAGAAAUUUCAAAUUAAGAAAUUUCCUUUUUUAAGGAUUUUCUUCUCGGCUUUACAGUUUUCUUAAUUUGAAAUUUCUUUUUUUAAGGAUUUUUAUUGGUUAAAGUUAUUGUUUUUUAAUUAUUCAAGUGUAAAAAAAAAACCGAGUUAAUUGAAAGUUGCAAAAUUGCGAUUAGCGAGUAUUUAUUGGUUUAAGUGCACAUUUAUAGUCUCAUUUAUAUGCGUUUGCCUUAUUUUUGCAUUUUAAAAAAAAUAUUUUGUGAUAUAUUUAGGGCUUGUUUGGCCAUGAAAAUUGUGAGUGUUUGAAAAAUAUAGCUUUUGUUUUCAAAACAACUGGAAAACUUGAAAAAUACACUUUGAGCAAGUUUAAGUGUCUAUCUGGUCACCUUGUAAGUUUAUAUGCCUAUCUUACAAAACAUGUCAAGUUUAAGGGUCCAUCUAGGUAUUAAGCCAUGGAUUUAUUAAAACCAAGAUGUAAUUGUCUCUCAAAAUCUCUUUUGAACUAGUCAUGUAGUUAAGUGAUAUUUACUGUAUUUUAUUUAUGUUUGUUGUCUAUUAUAAAAUCCUGUCUAUUAUAAAAUCAUUUUACUGCUCUAAUUCUCUCUUUUCCGAUUUUUUAUUUUGCAUGACCUCCGGAGUUGCGAGGAGUCUCAAACGAGAUUCAAUAUCAUCAGUACAUCCAAGAAACUUGCAUUUCGUCCUCUCAAGCACCUCUCUCGUUCCCUUGUGAUACCUCCGAACAAAAAUGAAAGGAAAUAAUGGGAAAUAUAGAACCCGCGUCUACUUUUCCGCUCGCUCUUUUCCCUCGUCGGAGAAGAAAGAGCACCUGUUGCAUUUUUAACUUGUCCAAAAUUAACUGUCUUUGCUUCUUCUUAUUUGUGACUGUUCAUGUGAUUCUUUUAAACUUAUCGACACUAUGACACUUAGUUUUGGGGGGAUAGAUAUGGGCAUAUUAUUUCAGCGACUGUCAAACGUAA